rnacentral:lncRNA from 1 species
GGCAACCAGGCUGCUUCUCACAUGGUUGCCGGGGAAGCAGAGGCUUCAGCUUCUGUGGUCAAGAAGCUGGGUAUGUCAUGGACCAGUAUUUCAGAUAUGCUUGCAUUCAAGAAUGAUUUUUCCAGCUCUCCCCCAAGAAAAAUUGUUCAUCUUGAUGGAACGGGGACAGAAGUCUUGCCGAAGGACAAAGAGUGAAACAAAUUUAACUUUGAGCUGUUGAAGAGCCAGUUGUGAGAUUCAAACAUAAAGGAUGACCAGAUCUUGAACUGGCUGUGAAAAUUUUGCUCUUCUAUCAUGUACUUGGCAAAAGACUUUGAGCAGCUCCUCAGUAUUACAUUGAGAUUGCCUUGGUUGAAUAGAAUUCAAACAGUGGUGGAAGAGUAUUUGGCUUCUCUGGGUAGUCUUGUAACAACAGACUCUUCCUUAGCCCAAGUCUCAGCAUAAUUGCUUCCCAUUUGGCGUACCCUCCUUGAAUGAUCAUUAAGAAGAGCCAUGUAAAUGUUUCAGAUUCUGAUGAUGGAGAUGAUUAUCUUCCUGCAGAUUUUGACACACGUCAUACAACCUUACAAAUAACAGCAAGAUAUGUCCCACUGGCACUGUGGUUUCUUUUGCCCAUACUGGUGGAAACAUUUCCAUUUGUUCAAUCAGAGAGAACACUGGAAUGUUACAUUCAUAACUUACUAAAGAUUAGUAUAUACUUUCCAACCUUGAGGAAUGAAAUUCUGAAGCUUAUUAUUAAAAAUCUAUUCAAAUUGGAUGUGAAUACAUUCUGGCAUGAUAUUGAAGAUGCUGAGGAAACAGCAGCUCAAACUUGUGGUGGGACAGAUUCCAUGGAAUGAUUGUUCAAUAUGAACGAAGAUGAAGAGACUGUUUCUAAGGCUGACUCCAAAUGGCUCGGUCAGAUGGUGCACCCUGUAGCUGAAUGCCUGGACACCCUGCUGUCUUUGCUUUUGCAGUACUUGAAGUAUGUCUGCUAUGUAAAAUACAUGGUAAGGUUGAUAACAACAAAAUAAAGGAUUUAUAAUAUAUCACAAACUGAUAAACAUAUUUGACAAACCCCUGCCUCCUGUCACGUACAGUUUUUUAUGUUUUACCUCUGUGGCUUAAAAUUGCGACUCUCAGAAGCAUUUUUGGAACGUCUCUGGGAAAAAAAAAUGCAGGAUCCAAAUAAUCCUGUCAUCAUCAGGUGAGCUGCUGGAAAUUAUAUUGGAAGCUCUUUGGCAAAAGCUAAAUUCAUUCCUCUCAUUACAACUAUAAAAUCAUGCCUAGGUCUUUCGGUUAACUGGCCACACAAAUACCUUACUAACCAGGAUCUGAGAAUGAAGGCUUUUUGUGAUAUUGCUCUCCAUCAAACAUUUUACUCAGCCUUCCAAGCUGUGUUCCACACCUUUGUUUUUAGACACAAGCAACUUUUAAGCGUAAACCUGAAAGAAGGUUUGAGAUGUCUUCAGUGCCUACAUUUUUAAGGGAUAGUGACUAGGCAGCUAAAUCCUCUGAAUAUUUGCCUGCCCUCAGUGGUUAACUUAUUUGCUGCUGUCACGAAUAAAUAUCAGCUAGUCUGCUACACUAUCAUUGAGAGGAACAACGGCCAGAAAUACAGCUGGAGGAGACUCGGUGUGAACGUGCACCAACCCAUUGGACGCCUUCUUCCCCUUUGAUCCUUGUGCGCUUAAGCAGUCAAGGAAAGUCAUUGAUUCUAUUUAUCAGAUAUGGGAAGACAUAAGUGUCGAAGAGCUUCAGGAGUUUAAGAAACCUAUGAAAAAGGAGAUGGAAAAAGAUGGAGAUGAUCUUUUGAAAGGUGAAGUUCCCCCAAAUGAUACCAUGAUCGGGAUUAUACCGAGCCACUUUGAUGCGAUGCACAUUUCCAAAGUCCUUCAAGUAGUGUGGGCUCCCCACCUGUGUUA